rnacentral:tRNA from 1 species
GUAAUUGCAGUUCAGUGGUAGAAUUUUCACUUUCCAUGUUGGAGACCCAGGUUCAUUUCCUGGCCAAUGCA